rnacentral:lncRNA from 1 species
UCAAAUUUAGGUUUUUGAAAUGUUUUUUUACACAAGUAAACGCAGUUAAAUAAUAAUACAAACAGAUAAGAAAAUUAAAGCAGGUUGGAAGAAUUUAAAAAUGAUGAGCGACCUGCAAUCGAUGCUAAGUAGAUAAGAUAGAAGAGAUGGUAUCAAAUAUAAACAAAAACAGAAAGAGUCAAGCGCAAGAGGUCGGAGACCACAGGUGAGGAGGAG